rnacentral:rRNA from 1 species
AACGCGAAGAACCUUACCUACCCUUGACAUGUACGGAAGUCCGAAGAGAUUUGGAUGUGCUCGAAAGAGAACCGUAACACAGGUGCUGCAUGGCUGUCGUCAGCUCGUGUCGUGAGAUGUUGGGUUAAGUCCCGCAACGAGCGCAACCCUUGUCAUUAGUUGCUACGAAAGGGCACUCUAAUGAGACUGCCGGUGACAAACCGGAGGAAGGUGGGGAUGACGUCAAGUCCUCAUGGCCCUUAUGGGUAGGGCUUCACACGUCAUACAAUGGUACAUACAGAGGGCCGCCAACCCGCGAGGGGGAGCUAAUCCCAGAAAGUGUAUCGUAGUCCGGAUUGUAGUCUGCAACUCGACUACAUGAAGUUGGAAUCGCUAGUAAUCGCGGAUCAGCAUGUCGCGGUGAAUACGUUCCCGGGUCUUGUACACACCG